UCUAAUAAAAUAAAAUAAGACCUGAGGGGCCUCGCCGUGGUAAAAAGAGCAGCCUAACAUGACCUCAGAUGCUCCACGGCAGAAAGAAAGUGAAAGAUCUGGACCAGCCACGAACGUCACCCU